rnacentral:rRNA from 1 species
CCUACGGGAGGCAGCAGUGGGGGAUAUUGCACAAUGGGGGGAACCCUGAUGCAGCGACGCCGCGUGGGUGAAGGCGCGUCUCGGCGUGUAAAGCCCCAUCUGUAGGGAAGUAGGAGGACGGUACCUCACUAAGAAGCCCCGGCCAACUACGUGCAAGCAGCCGCGGUAAUACGUAGGGGGCAAGCGUUAUCCGGAUUUACUGGGUGUAAAGGGGGUGCAGACGGGAGCGCAAGCCAGGAGUGAAAGCCCGGGGGCCAACCCCGGGACUGCUGUUGGAACCGGGCGGCUGGAGUGCGGGGGGGGCAGGCGGAAUGCGUGGUGUAGCGGUGAAAUGCGUAGAUAUCAGGAGGAACACCGGUGGCGAAGGCAGCCUGCUGGAGUGCAACUGACGUUGAGGCCCGAAAGCGUGGGGAGCGAACAGGAUUAGAUACCCUUGUAGUC